GUAGACAUAGUUUAAAAAAAACAUUAGAUUGUGAUUCUAAGAACAGAAGUUAAAAUCCUCUUGUCCACC
rnacentral:tRNA from 1 species